rnacentral:lncRNA from 1 species
UCUGUUACAGCAAGGAAUACGUUUUCCAGAGGAGAAGAUCCUGGAGUACGCUUUCAGUUUUUCCGGCUAAGGGCCUGUUUGUGAUGAUUUUCAUUACAGAUAGGGCCCUGGCAGAAAACACUUCAUAUCUUUUUACUCACAACUCCAAAUGAGGUGAAUCCAAAGCCCACGUCUUCGUUUCAUCGAGCCCGUUCUGAUGGAACCAUUUUCACCAUGUUUUGACAUUCUGAAAAUGACCAUUUUGCCCCUGCCCUUAUUCAGCCCCCUCCGAGAGAGUACGUUUUCAGGCGAUCCUUUCCGCGAGUUUCUCGCACUUUCUCCCGAUGAUUUCUUCCGCCCCAGGCAAGCCACACCCUCCAUUGGCAUGAUUGCAAUGCAGUGACAUGGUUUCUUUAUUUAAACUUGUUUAAAAUAUUGUGUUAGCUACUUGUGAUUUGUUCAUGGCAUUUAUCGGAGUAUUAUAUUGAUCUUGUUAUUGCCAUGAUAUUUGCUUGGAGUUCUCGGAUUAAUAUUUUGAUCAUUAUAUCGAUGACAUGUGCCUUUGGAUUCUUAGUGGCUAUUAUAACCUUGUGUGCCCGUUGUUGUUGUUGUACCCGGGUUGUCCCUGUGUGGGACCGUUUAUUGUUUUGGCCACGACGGUGGUCGUUGUGUCUUUGGUAGACACGGGGCCACCCAGGACUAGCCCAGUGGGGAAUGAGUCGGAGUGGCCGGGAGAGUGUCAUGGCAGUAGAUCGGUUUUGUCGGAAUGCCAUUGGUCCACCCGAAUGGGAGUGCGAGGCCAUGGGUUCCGUGGUGUGGGUAAAGUGCGCUACCUCUGCAGAGUGUGUUUGUUUAAACUAUCGAUAGCCGCGUCCUCGGUCAUGGGCAUGGGUUCGUACUAGGUCACACCGUUCGAUCAACACUCACAUGACAGAAUAACUUAUAGGUGAUUUAUAUGUGGAUAUUUUGAGCAGUACAGAUUGGCAGGAUGUUGAUGAUGAUGUUGAGACCAAGUGUUGGUCAUGGUUGUGAUCGCCGGAAAGAUCACCGUUUGGUUUUGAUCACGAGGUGAUCGAGAUGGGAUAUUGCUUGGCCGGUUAGCCAAGAGAGAUAUGGUUAUGGAGAUCUGAGAUGGUGAUUUAUCAGUAUUGUAGUAGUUUCAUAUCAUGCUUAGUAGUUGAUGCCGUAUCAUGGUCGAUGUUAAUUUAAUUAACCUGUUUAAUACUAUGUUGUUGUUUUGCCUUAAUGCUUUUGGUUGUUGUGAGCUUGCAAGUACAUUCAAUGUACCGACCUGGCAUGUCAUGCCAGAUUGCAGGUGAUGCCGUGAUUGCUUGAUUGUUUGUUGAGGUGUCCGUUCAUGCGAGCUAGACCGUCUCCCAGCCAGAGUCCCUGCGGAGUGGAGUUCACCACCUUCGUCGUUGUUCCGCUGCUAGAAGUUUUCCGCUGCUACGAGUUGUUCCGCUGCUAGCAUAGAGCAAGUGUAGUAUCGCAGGCGUAGUGUCGCCAUGCUGAUGUGAUCAUUGUAACAUCAGACCCGUGUAAUUAUUAUUCUUGUAAUAAGAGCUGAUUUGUUCUAUGUCAAGCAGUGCCGUAUUCCAGAGACUUCUCCUCGAUCUUUGGGCUGGAAUACGGGGCGUUCCGAUUUCUCUGAGCCGGCGUGCCACAGGCUUGGUAUCAGAGCAGGUCUGGCUGUAGGAUGCCCUAGUCAGCGCGAGUGGUACAAACUGGUAGUAAUCGGUAGUUUAGAGGUGGUCUUGUUUGUCGCAUUUGGUUGCUGCAUUUGUUUGUUGCAUAGCAUGCAUAUAGUCUUAGUAUUUUUACUAACAGUUUAAUCUGGUGAGUGUAGAUGGCAUCGGUUCAGAUCCACUACAGCUCAGCCUUUGCAAUUCUGCAGUUUUCUUUUCUUGCUCAUUCUUCGGGGUUUGGCGUCAUUUCUGUCCCAGCACAGUGAUGCCAAGUGAUCCUGACACUGUUUGCAAAAAUGGUGCUCAAGUAUCGCGCCGAAUUAUUUCCUUCAGCCCCACCUUUUGUUUCGGUGGUAGACAUGCUUCUAUCACGGAUCGUCCUUUUUCUUGUCAUUUUGGCAACCCUUAAUGAUCGUAGUUAUCAAGAAAGGGCAGUGUCAGCAGCCUCAAUUUUUCCCCGCUAUCCUAUUUCUUGGACGAGUACGGAUCUUUUUCCGUCCGCUUGAUAAUAAUUUGGUUGCGACCUUCAUGUCCCACUACAUGAUUAUCGAAUGCGUCCUCGCCUCCAACCUAGUACAGGUUGCUACCUGGCUAAGCUAGCACUUGGUGUAGCGCUGUUUACACCAAUUUUUUUCACACAUUUAUUCGUCCUCGUGCACAUCAUCACAGCAUGCUAGAUCGUAGAACCGGAGAUCCCGCGAGAUUUGUGUGCUUAAGUAGGCAUGCGUAUUGUGUGACUAGCACAAAUAUGUGAUAUUGAUUGUGUGUGAAUUGAUUGUUGUUGUGUGUUUUUGUUUAGUUGAGUUUUCUUUUGCCUCUUUCUUUUUAGGCCCCGGUGUUACAUUAUUUUUCCCCUAUAAAGAGUUGCUCAUCAACUGAUACCGGACUCGAAGGAGGAAUAAGUAUUUCAAAUAUUUGCAAGAAGCUCAGCUAAACAUUAUGGCCUUCUCAGUCAACCGCAUGAUAUAAGGAAUAUCUGCUAAGAAUGCCAAUCGUGUCUUGGAUUGAUUAUGCGCAUCAAUUCUACAGCAGUAACGAUCCAAACAGCAGUAAGACAAGUCAGAUGCAAGACCAACGGUAUAUUUUUCAGUCAAAUGUAUGGAUCAUAGGCAAAGUGUUGGCUCAGCUAUAAAUGGUACUUGAAAUAUGUUAUACUCCAAGAGAAAGUCAGGAUGUGAUAUGCUCAAGGAAGACAGUCAAGCAAAUUUUCUCAUGCAAAUGAUCAGCCGCAAAAUAUUAUGGAAGUGUGCAUGGAUUUCAGUCUGCAUAUUAGUAUGAAGUUUUGGACAUAAGUAACCCAGUAUUAUUCCACACGCUAUCGGAAGAAAUUUAUGAGGCAAGGCUCCUCAAAUUUUUCCUCAGCAUGAUAUGUGAACAAUUUCCAGCCCACGGUACCCGGUCUUUCUCAACAAGAUACCUCGGUAAAAGCUUCUAACAAGACGGAAAUGAAUUUUUCUCAACAAGCAAACCCGAGGAGAAGCUUCUCAAGUACGGAACUCAAGUUUCUCCAGCACAAUAAUCCGACCAAGCUUCGUGUGUAAGCUAUCGAGAUUUCUUCUGCACGCUACCCAAACAAAAGCCUCGAGCAGAAUCUAAGAGUCUUCCUCAGCAAGCUACUUGGAUGGCUUCCCUCGUAAGCCACUCAGUACGCGUCAGUACCACACUAUGCACCGUUCUCAGAGAUUAUAUGAUGAGUUGGCAGUAUAUGGCAGUACAUCUCAAGGAUCAGAUUUGCAAUAAUUUUGUUAGAGGAACAAUUCAGUCAAAACAUAUGCCUCCCGCAAUAAUAUGGUAUUCAGUUGCAUAUGAUUAUUAUACAUAUGGUACGCAUGUAUCUCGGGUCAGAUCGGUCACUUAUACGGGAUACAGCACUGAUCCAGCAGAUAUACCUAAGAAAGGUACGGACCCAACAACCUCAUAAGUCAUGCAAAUGAAGAUAAGCAGAGGUACACACCUUAUGUAAUGCAAGGAUCGACAAGAUCUGAACAUGACAUCGCAGAAGUAACAGUCUUGACAAUGCCACCAAGGCCAAUAUUCCGCACCUACAAGGGGAUCUCAUGAACUCUUGUCACCUUCUUGUAUGAUUGGCCUCAGCAAUGAGCUCCGUACAGCUACAAACCCCGAGUAUAUGUCAUAUAUGUGUGAACACAGGUCAGAAAAUAAGCAGAAGAAAUAAUGCCAACAAUAUUGCACUAGCCACAGUCAUGGUCAUACGAAGAAUCAAGGACAUGUGUGGCCAAGUUAUUUCAGUAAGGUAUCCUGACAAAGAAAAUCAUGACCGUUAAAGGGUGAGACUGACAGCAAAGGUAUGAUGAUUUUCGCACGAUCAUCAGGGUCCGGAUACCCAAAUCAGUUGGAGGCCAUAAUUCCAUAUGGAUCCACAAAGACAUACACCUUCAGCGGCCUACUCUAUUUACAAGGAAUUUCAUAUCCCGCUGACCCGCUUGGAAUGGUUAGUGUGGAAAAUCCAAAUGAGUAUACCGACAAAAUGAGAAAAUCAAAAGUCGAACAAUCAGCUCAGACACGGUAUACGGAAUCAAGUACCCGGUCAGUCUGUCAGGAAAAGCAUUUGUCCGUCAGCCCCUGUCGGGCAAAGUCUCAAGAUGUAAAUGUUUGAGGUAUGACAUAACUAUAACUCCAUACACCAUUAUAUUGCUCACGACAGAAGGCAGUCAAAUCUCUGGUGUAUGCCACAUGCUCGAGCCAAAGGAAAUAAAUCAAGAUAAAUCAGUGCACCUAUGAGCCGUCAGAUCCCGUCAGAAGAUGGCCAUGAUUAAUUCUAAGCAUUUAUUGAACCCAGAAGGCUUGCAGCAACCCCAUGACAGAAAUGAAAAGGUUUUCAUGACAAAAGGAAAUUUAUGCUCAGAUCCGUUGGAUAUCACCGCCGAUAUGAAAGAAUCAACAUUAGCAAAAGGAUUUGGUAUAUGAGCAAAGACCCAUCAAAAUUUGGGGAAAGGUGAAGCAAGCCACCCCAGAGCAAGGUAAGUUGAUCAUCUGAAAUUCUUGAGGGAACAAUAAAUAAAGGAAAAAGGAUGCCCAAGUUGGAAACGGUAUCCUCAAGUCAUACUUGUUCCCAGAGCAACUAAAUCUCGAGGACGAGAUUUCUUUAACGGGGUAAGAGUUGUAACAGCCUGGAUUUUGGCCAUUUUCUUUUUCUUUUUGAUUUAUUGGUUUUUGCUCUGUUUUUCUUUUUGGAGUGGUUCUGUGGCCUUGUCACCUGGGAAAUCAUCCUCUUUUUCCUUCCCAAGUGGAUCAUCAUUUUCAAAACCCUGCCAAGAUCAUGUCACUUCACUGCUUGACCAAACCCUAAAAUCUUUUUCUAGGGAAUAUUCCUUUUUUAUAUUAAAGGAAUAACCCUGUCUGCCCUAGGUUGUGAAGCAACCUUUAAUUCCAUCACUCCUAAAAUUCCCAAAUAAUUCUCAUAAAUUGUUUGGGUCAUAUCUUUCUCAAAUAUGGCAAAAUAUUUCAUUUGUCAUGUUUAUCAUCUUGCUCAAAUAAUUCAUUUCCUAUUCUGCCCUAAAUGGCACAUUGUGAAGCAAGUGCUAUUUUCCUUUUCCCAAUUGACCUCAAACUCCUUGGACACCUUUUCCUGUCCAUAUCAUUGCCACAUGCCAAAAUGCAACCUCAUUUGCCUAAUAAUUAUUUAAUUAUGAUUUUCCAAAGUUUCUGUCCAGAAAGAAGCUUUGUGAAGGAGGUGCAAGCUAGGCAUAUCCAAAUGAGUUUCCAUUUUUCAUGAUCCCUCAUAUCAUCAUAUCAUAGCCCUCCACCAAAGUAGAGCUCAUGUCAUGCCUCCAUGUGAGCUCAUCUUCAAUUCUUUGAUUCUGCCCAAAAUUUCAGUUUGUGAAGCAAGUAUAUUUUAUCUUGCUCCAUUAUGGCUGCCAAUUUUUCUAGGCCUUCUAUUAUCCAUAUAACCUACCUCCACUCAUUUUGGGCAUGGUUCAUCAAGCCAUUAUUCCUCUAGAAUUUUUGCAAGUUUCUGUCCAGAGGAGAUGUUUGUGAAGCAAGUACCAGGUUGGCUUGGCCAAUUGGUAUGAGACUUUUUGAGCAUCUUCAUAGGAUCAUAUGACUCUACCUUGCCCAAUUUGAGCUCAAUUUGACACUCCAUGUGAGUGCACCUUCCUGAUCAAGUUUCUGGACCAUUUUGGUCAGUUGCAAAGCAACUAUGAUUUAUCUUGGUCCAAACCUUCUCAAAGUUACCAGGAUGAAAGUCCUUCUUACCAUAAACCUCACAGACAAAUCCAUUUGGCCCAAUCCCUAUCCUGUUGAUCACCAGUGCGCACCCAAGUUUACUGCAGUAAACUUCAGAGGUUGUUUACCAGUUAACCCUAGCACUUUUAACCAAGCUACCACCAUAGUUGAAACCUCCCCUGGAUGGACUACGUCCUAGACAACGUUUUCCAGUCGUUGGCACCUUCUCCUCUCCAGCUCACGCGGUCACCGCCUCUCUGGCAUGCCAUGGACGCGAGCUGGAUGGCUUCUUACUAACAGUUUAAUCUGGUGAGUGUAGAUGGCAUCGGUUCGGAUCCACUACAGCUUAGCCUUUGCAUUUCUGCAGUUUCUUUUCUUGCUCAUUCUUCGGGGUUUGGCGUCAUUUCUGUCCCAGCACAGUGAUGCCAAGUGAUCCUGACACUGUUUGCAAAAGUGGUGCUCAAGUAUCGCGCCGAAUUAUUUCCUUCAGCCCCACCUUUUGUUUCGGUGGUAGACAUGCUUCUAUCACGGAUCGUCCUUUUUCUUGUCAUUUUGGCAACCCUUAAUGAUCGUAGUUAUCAAGAAAGGGCAGUGUCAGCAGCCUCAAUUUUUCCCCGCUAUCCUAUUUCUUGGACGAGUACGGAUCUUUUUCCGUCCGCUUGAUAAUAAUGUGGUUGCGACCUUCGUGUCCCACUACAUGAUUACCGAAUGCGUCCUCGCCUCCAAGCUAGUCCAGGUUGCUACCUGGCUAAGCUAGCACUUGGCGUAGCGCUGUUUACACCAAUUUUUCCACACAUUUAUUCGCCCUCGUGCACAUCGUCACAACAUGCUAGAUCGUAGAACCGGAGAUCCCGCGAGAUUUGUGUGCUUAAGUAGGCAUGCAUAUUGUGUGACUAGCAGUAAUAUGUGAUAUUGAUUGUGUGUGAAUUGAUUGUCGUUGUGUGUUUUUGUUUAGUUGAGUUUUCUUUUGCCUCUUUCUUUUUGGGCCCCGGUGUUACAUUAUUUCCCCCCUAUAAAGAGUUGCUCAUCAACUGAUACCGGACUCGAAGGAGGAAUAAGUAUUUCAAAUAUUUGCAAGAAGCUCAGCUAAACAUUAUGGCCUUCUCAGUCAACCACAUGAUAUAAGGAAUAUCUGCUCAGAAUGCCAAUUGUGUCUUGGAUUGAUUAUGCGCAUCAAUUCUACAGCAGUAACGAUCCAGCCAGCAGUAAGACAAGUCAGAUGCAAGACCAACGGUAUAUUUUUCAGUCAAAGGUAUGGAUCAUAGGCAAAGUUUUGGCUCAGCUAUAAAUGGUACUUGAAAUAUGUUAUACUCCAAGAGAAAGUCGGGAUGUGAUAUGCUCAAGGAAGACAGUCAAGCAAAUUUUCUCAUGCAAAUGAUCAGCCGCAAAAUAUUAUGGAAGUGUGCAUGGAUUUCAGUCUGCAUAUCAGUAUGAAGUUUUGGACAUAAGAAACCCAGCAUUAUUCCACACACUAUCGGAAGAAAUUUAUGAGGCAAGGCUCCUCAAAUUUUUCCUCAGCAUGAUAUGUGAACAAUUUCCGGCCCACGGUACCCGGUCUUUCUCAACAAGAUACCUCGGUAAAAGCUUCUAACAAGAUGGAAAUGAAUUUUUCUCAACAAGCAAACCCGAGGAGAAGCUUCUCAAGUACGGAACUCAAGUUUCUCCAGCACAAUAAUCCGACCAAGCUUCGUGUGUAAGCUAUCGAGAUUUCUUCUGCACGCUACCCAAACAAAAGCCUCGAGCAGAAUCUAAGAGUCUUCCUCAGCAAGCUACUUGGAUGGCUUCCCUCGUAAGCCACCCAGUACGCGUCAGUACCACACUAUGCACCGUUCUCAGAUAUUAUAUGAUGAGUUGGCAGUAUAUGGCAGUACAUCUCAAGGAUCAGAUUUGCAAUAAUUUUGUUAGAGGAACAAUUCAGUCAAAACAUAUGCCUCCCGCAAUAAUAUGGUAUUCAGUUGCAUAUGAUUAUUAUACAUACGGUACACAUGUAUCCCGGGUCAGAUCGGUCACUUAUACGGGAUAUAGCACUGAUCCAGCAGAUAUACCUAAGAAAGGUACGGACCCAACAACCUCAUAAGUCAUGCAAAUGAAGAUAAGCAGAGAUACACACCUUAUGUAAUGCAAGGAUCGACAAGAUCUGAACAUGACAUCGCAGAAGUAACAGUCUUGACAAUGGCCACCAAGGCCAAUAUUUCGCACCUACAAGGGGAUCUCAUGAACUCUUGUCACCUUCUUGUAUGAUUGGCCUCAGCAAUGAGCUCCGUAGAGCUACAAACCCCGAGUAUAUGUCAUAUAUGUGCGAACACAGGUCAGAAUCUCAUGAACUCUUGUCACCUUCUUGUAUGAUUGGCCUCAGCAAUGAGCUCCGUAGAGCUACAAACCCCGAGUAUAUGUCAUAUAUGUGCGAACACAGGUCAGAAAAUAAGCAGAAGAAAUAAUGCCAACAAUAUUGCACUAGCCACAGUCAUGGUCAUACGAAGAAUCAAGGACAUGUGUGGCCAAGUUAUUUCAGAGGUUGUUUACCAGUUAACCCUAGCACUUUUAACCAAGCUACAACCGUAGUUGAAACCUCCCCUGGAUGGACUACGCCCUAGACAACGUUUUCCAGUCGUUGGCACCUUCUCCUCUCCAGCUCACGCGGUCACCGCCUCUCUGGCAUGCCAUGGACGCGAGCUGGAUGGCUUCUUGCUCGGGCCCCUCCUCUGCUCGGCGUCUCAGCGAGCACGAGCAUGUCUAAUAGAUCUACCGCAUCGUCUCCGUCCUCCUGGACCUCUUUCUCUCUCAAUAAAACCCCUCACCGACGCUCACCGACGCUCGCCGCCGAACGCCCACGAGAGCACAGUGGCGUUUUGGCUCGGUUCGUCGCCGUCUUCUUCCUCCCUGCGCCCCCUUGGCCUCCUCUGCCCCGUGAGAGCCUCCACUGCUCCUCCUCGUCGCCUAACCCUGAGCUCAUGCGCGUGCACACGCGUCCACGGUGCCGGACACGCGUCCGCGGCGACGACAGCUUGGACACCUCACACCGCGCCUAUUUAAGCCCUCCCCCGAGCCCUCCGAGCUCACCCACGGCCUCACCCCUCCUCUCUAAGCCUCCCUGACCACCCAAACGAGCUCGAGGAGCUCUCAUUCCUUCCCGUCAUCGCCACGGCCGCCGCUCUGUCCCGGCUAAAUUCGCUCAGAGUCGUCCCCCUACUUGCCUUCUUACACCACUAGAGCCCCUAUCUACAUCCGGCGACCCUCCCCUGCCGUUUCCCUCACCCUCCGGCGCACCAGGGAGCCGUGCCCGUCCGCUGCGGUCGAGGCUGCUCCCGUUCCUGUCAUCUUCAGCAACCGGGAGGCCGACCAGGCGAUGCGGCUCGGUCCCCCGAGCAUGUUGGUGUGCCGAGCGUCGCGGGAGGCGGCCAGAAUCGCCGACGAGCCCCGUCGGGAUCCUCCUCUGCCGCGGCAAUGCGCGGGCGAGAGGAAGGAGACGAAGGCACUGACCCCCCCUCCCCUCCAGCUCGCCAUGGGCCCCGCGCGUCAGCCCCUCAGCCGUUGACCCCGCCCCUUCACGUCAGUUAAGUGGAGACGAAUUCCCAGGCAAUCUAUUUUCUUCUUCUGAAAGCGUAUUCUGCUUCUACUUCAGCCAAAGUACGCUUUCCUUUACUAAAGACGUAUUUUCUCUCUAUACAGCGAGGAAUACGUUUUCCAAAGGAGAGAAGACGUAUUUCCUGCAGUGCGCUUUCAGUUUUUCCGGCUAAGGGCCUGUUUGUGAUGAUUUUCAUUACAGAUAGGUCCCUGGCAGAAAACACUUCAUAUCUUUUUACUCACAACUCCAAAUGAGGUGAAUCCAAAGCCCACGUCUUCGUUUCAUCGAGCCCGUUCUGAUGGAACCAUUUUCACCAUGUUUUGACAUUCUGAAAAUGACCAUUUUGCCCCUGCCCUUAUUCAGCCCCCUCCGAGAGAGUACGUUUUCCGGCGAUCCUUUCCGCGAGUUUCUUGCACUUUCUCCCGGUGAUUUCUUCCACCCCAGGCAAGCCACACCCUCCAUUUGCAUGAUUGCAAUGCAGUGACAUGUUUUCUUUAUUGAACUUGUUUAAAAUAUUGUGUUAGCUACUUGUGAUUUGUUCAUGGCAUUUAUCGAAGUAUUAUUUUGAUCUUGUUAUUGCCAUGAUAUUUGCUUGGAGUUCUCGGAUUAAUAUUUUGAUGAUUAUGUGGAUGACAUGUGCCUUUGGAUUCUUAGUGGCUAUUAUGAUUAUUUUUCAUGAUGGUAUCUGGUAUUAUUUUGAAGUAUUACAUUGGAUAUCAUGUUGUCUUUGGGUUAUUAGUGGCUUUUAUGAUUAGUUUCAUGGUGGUUUUGGAUAUGAUAUCUUGGAGUAUUUGCUUUGGAUAUCAUGCUGUCUUUGGAUUAUUAGUGGUUAGUAUGAUUAUUUUCAUGUUGCUAGUUGAUGUUCUGUUGCUUGGAGUAUUAUUUUCGGAGAUGAUGUUUACAUUUGGAUCUUAGCCGAAUAGCUUUAUUCUUGUUAUUGGAGUAGUAGGAUUAUUGUUUUCGGAUUCAUCAUGACAGUAGUGUUGUGCUACCCUUGGAGUAUUUGGAGAUGAUGAUAUUAUGCUUGGAUUAUUUGUUUGAUAUUGCUAUGACUUGGAUUAUAGUUUGAUAGUUGAUAUCGGAGUAUCAGUUAUCACAGUUAUAUUUUUGGGGAUAAAUUCCAUCAUUAAGUUGGUCAGGUGCCACCGAACCGGGCUUUCUUCGGUGCAACCACAUUUGCCUUUAUGGGAAGGCCCUAAUGCGGUCUAUUGUUGUGCCUCUCGCCGGUGCCUCCAACUAGGGAAGGUUAUGGGCGUGCGGUACCCUGGCCCGGUAAGCAGACAUAACCUUGUGUGCCCGUUGUUGUUGUUGUACCCGGGUUGUCCCUAUGUGGGACCGUUUAUUGUUUUGGCCACGACGGUGGUCGUUGUGUCUUUGGUAGACACGGGGCCACCCAGGACUAGCCCAGUGGGGAAUGAGUCGGAGUGGCCGGGAGAGUGUCAUGGCAGUAGAUCGGUUUUGUCGGAACGCCGUUGGUCCACCCGAAUGGGAGUGCGAGGCCAUGGGUUACGUGGUGUGGGUAAAGUGCGCUACCUCUGCAGAGUGUGUUUGUUUAAACUAUCGAUAGCCGCGUCCUCGGUCAUGGGUUUGUACUAGGUCACACCAUUCGAUCAACACUCACAUGACGGAAUAACUUAUAGGUGAUUUAUAUGUGGAUAUUUUGAGCAGUACAGAUUGGCAGGAUGUUGAUGAUGAUGUUGAGACCAAGUGUUGGUCAUGGUUGUGAUCGCCGGAAAGAUCACCGUUUGGUUUUGAUCACGAGGUGAUCGAGAUGGGAUAUUGCUUGGCCGGUUAGCCAAGAGAGAUAUGGUUAUGGAGAUCUGAGAUGGUGAUUUAUCAGUAUUGUAGUAGUUUCAUAUCAUGCUUAGUAGUUGAUGUCGUAUCAUGGUCGAUGUUAAUUUAAUUAACCUGUUUAAUGCUAUGUUGUUGUUUUGCCUUGAUGCUUUUGGUUGUUGUGAGCUUGCAAGUACAUUCAAUGUACUGACCUGGCGUGUCAUGCCAGAUUGCAGGUGAUGACGUGAUUGCUUGAUUGUUUGUUGAGGUGUUUGUUCGUGCGAGCUGGACCGUGCCCCAGCGAGAGUCCCUGGAGAGUGGAGUUCACCACCUUUGUUGUUGUUCCGCUGCUACGAGUUGUUCCGCUGCUAGCAUAGAGAAAGUGUAGUAUCACAGGCGUAGUGUCGCCAUGCUGAUGUGAUCAUUGUAACAUCAGACCCGUGUAAUUAUUAUUCUUGUAAUAAGAGCUAAUUUGUUCUAUGUCAAGCGGUGCCGUAUUCCA